GCGAGGUUGGCUCAGUUGGUAGAGCGUGAGUCUCAUAUUAGUACAAUAUGACUGGUUGGGUUAACCCUCUAGGACAUCUCAAGGUCGUGAGUUCGAGCCUCACACUUCGCA